rnacentral:rRNA from 1 species
AUUGAACGCUGGCGGCAGGCCUAACACAUGCAAGUCGAGCGGCAGCGGGAAAGUAGCUUGCUACUUUUGCCGGCGAGCGGCGGACGGGUGAGUAAUGCCUGGGAAAUUGCCCAGUCGAGGGGGAUAACAGUUGGAAACGACUGCUAAUACCGCAUACGCCCUACGGGGGAAAGCAGGGGACCGUCGGGACUUGCGCGGUUGGAUAUUCCCAGGUGGGAUUAGCUAUUUGGUGAGGUAAUGGCUCACCAAGGCGACGAUCCCUAGCUGGUCUGAGAGGAUGAUCAGCCACACUGGAACUGAGACACGGUCCAGACUCCUACGGGAGGCAGCAGUGGGGAAUAUUGCACAAUGGGGGAAACCCUGAUGCAGCCAUGCCGCGUGUGUGAAGAAGGCCUUCGGGUUGUAAAGCACUUUCAGCGAGGAGGAAAGGUUGUUGGCUAAUAUCCAACAGCUGUGACGUUAUUCGCAGAAGAAGCACCGGCUAACUCCGUGCCAGCCGCCGCUGUAACAC